GCUUCCAGGAAAGCUGAUGGGGUCUAGAUGCACUUUUUCUAUAUCCCCCACUGACAAGUACGGUGAAGGCCGAAUGCUCAGUGAACAGUAACUCUCUGCCCUAAAUCCAGCUGGGACUUUCCUGGUGCUUACUCAUGGACCUUCCACACUGAGGGAGCACACUGCAUCUGGGGAAUUUUGGAUCUCAGGAGCACUGAGAAAAAGAAAGCACAAAUGAAAUCUCACCUCAUGUGAUAGUAGUCAUGAAACCCAAAGACACAAUGUGGAGAGGAGUUCACGAGAAUGCCUGGUAUGAGGAGAGCACCCCAAAUCACUCUUUAUGAGCUCACCUCAAAAUCUCGGGCUCCACUUAUCCCAUGAGCCGUUGAAGAUAAUAAUGAAGAGAUCACUCUUAAAGUGCUCUUUUUUCUUUUCAGAUUUUAAUAGUAAAGCAGAACUUUAAAAAAAAUGAAGCUGAUAAAAAUUA
rnacentral:sRNA from 1 species